rnacentral:tRNA from 1 species
GGGAGUGGCUGUGUCCCGGUGGAUGCCCCGGUCUUCAAAACCGGUGGCGGGUUGCGCAGAGCAGGCCGCGGUGGGUUCGACUCCCAUGCACUCCCGCCA